GACGAGGGGUCCUAGCGUUGUUCGGAAUCACUGGGCGUAAAGCGUAUGUAGGCGGCUCUCUAAGUCGGUCGUGAAAUCCCAUGGCUUAACCAUGGAAUUGCGUUCGAAACUGGAGAGCUUGAGUGUGGGAGAGAUUGGUAGAAUACCUGGUGUAGUGGUGAAAUAACGUAGAUAUCAGGUGGAAUACCGGUGGCGAAAGGCGGCCAAUUGGCCC
rnacentral:rRNA from 1 species